rnacentral:rRNA from 1 species
CUGCUAUACAUGCAUCGAGCGAACUGAUUAGAAGCUUGCUUCUAUGACGUUAGCGGCGGACGGGUGAGUAACACGUGGGCAACCUGCCUGUAAGACUGGGAUAACUUCGGGAAACCGAAGCUAAUACCGGAUAGGAUCUUCUCCUUCAUGGGAGAUGAUUGAAAGAUGGUUUCGGCUAUCACUUACAGAUGGGCCCGCGGUGCAUUAGCUAGUUGGUGAGGUAACGGCUCACCAAGGCCACGAUGCAUAGCCGACCUGAGAGGGUGAUCGGCCACACUGGGACUGAGACACGGCCCAGACUCCUACGGGAGGCAGCAGUAGGGAAUCUUCCGCAAUGGACGAAAGUCUGACGGAGCAACGCCGCGUGAGUGAUGAAGGCUUUCGGGUCGUAAAACUCUGUUGUUAGGGAAGAACAAGUACAAGAGUAACUGCUUGUACCUUGACGGUACCUAACCAGAAAGCCACGGCUAACUACGUGCCAGCAGCCGCGGUAAUACGUAGGUGGCAAGCGUUAUCCGGAAUUAUUGGGCGUAAAGCGCGCGCAGGCGGUUUCUUAAGUCUGAUGUGAAAGCCCACGGCUCAACCGUGGAGGGUCAUUGGAAACUGGGGAACUUGAGUGCAGAAGAGAAAAGCGGAAUUCCACGUGUAGCGGUGAAAUGCGUAGAGAUGUGGAGGAACACCAGUGGCGAAGGCGGCUUUUUGGUCUGUAACUGACGCUGAGGCGCGAAAGCGUGGGGAGCAAACAGGAUUAGAUACCCCUGGUAGUCCACGCCGUAAACGAUGAGUGCUAAGUGGUUAGAGGGUUUCCGCCCUUUAGUGCUGCAGCUAACGCAUUAAGC